rnacentral:lncRNA from 1 species
AUUUCAUACUUAAAACAAUAUUCUAUGCAAAAUGCUAUAAUUUCCCCUUGCCUCCAAUUUACACAUGAUAAAACUGAGCCUAGUAAAAUUAAGUAUCAUGCCCCAAAGUUCUCUGCUUAGUAAGAAGUAGAGGCAAGCCCAAACCUAAGUCAUCUGAUUUCAGAGCCCAUACAGUUAAAUGCUCUAAAUGCAGCUUCCCGUGAUGAUGGUGACUAUGAGAGCCUGUCACAUAUGAUGUAGGACAGUGCUUCCCUGUAACAUGCACAAGAUUCCUGUGAUGAUGGUGACUAUGAGAGCCUGUCACAUGAUGUAGGACAGUGCUUCCCUGUAACAUGUGCAAGAUUCCCGUGAUGAUGGUGACUAUGAGAGCCUGUCACAUAUGAUGUAGGACAGUGCUUCCCUGUAACAUGUGCAAGAUUCCCAUGAUGAUGGUGACUAUGAGAGCCUGUCACAUAGGAUGUAGGACAGUGCUUCCCUGUAACAUGCACAAGAUUCACCCAGGGAUCUCUUUAAAAUGCAAAACCAUAGACCACACUUUGACUGGCUUGGAUAAGGGGUCAGAGCAUCGAAAUGAGUGUGUAGGUGACUGUGCUAAAAUUCUCCUGCUCAUGUGGGCACUGGCUCAUGAUAUUAACAAAGCUUAGGACCUCUAGUCCUUUCUGGAAAGAAAAUACACAUACAUAGCAUGUGACUGUGCAUAUGGAAUAUCUGUUGUGUUCUGGACAUUGUGCUGGACAACAGAGAUAAGAAGUCAAAUAUCCCUUGUCUCUAUCUGAAAGGAGCUUCC